ensembl:lncRNA novel transcript, antisense to CD36
GCUCAGGUAUGUCUUUAUUACCAGUGUUCUUGAGGAUACAAUCAACCAAGGUACACUUUAAAUUAAAGCAGAUAUAUGGAUAAAACAGGAAAAAUACAAGGAUAUUCAAUAUCAACAUUUCCAUUAAGAAUUGUACUGGGGCAUCUGGCCAACAGAAUUCAGAGCCCCAGCCUGUUCAUAAAAAAAAUCAGAUGAAUUUUGUCUGCGGAACAUUCUGCAAAAAUAUCUGACCAGUAAGUAAUCCUCUAAAUAGCCACAGCCAUCAACAGCAAGGAAAGUCUGAGAAAGUGUCACAGCCAAGAGGACCCUAUAAAGACAUGAUGACUAAAUGUAACAUGGUGUCUUCCAUGGGAUCCUGAAACAGAAAAAGGACAUUAGAGCUGGGGAUUGUGGUAUGUGCCUUUAGUCCUAGCUACUCCGGAGGCUGAGGCAGGAGGAUCACCUGAGCCCAGGACUUUGAGGCCGCUGUAAGCUAUGAUCAUGCCACUGCACUCCAGCUCAGGCAACAGUGAGACCCGGUCUCAACAAACAAAAGAAAAUAAAAGAAUGGUAGACAAGGAAAGCAGUUGAACAGCUAUGCGAGAAGCCUACUUUCUCUUCAUGUAACACGUUGGCCUAAGAGAUCUAUAGAGCUUUUUAAAAACAAAGAAGGCAGCAAGAUUUAAAAUAAUAAAACCAGCAAUAGGUAUUUUUAAAAGUGAGAGAAACUAUCAGAGAGCUGUAGCAGAAAAGCAAGUUAAAAAUAAAGGAAACAGAAAAGGAACUGAUACAGCUGAUUUGAUACUGGAAAAAUCACCCAGGAGGCAGCGUGGACAAUGGAUUGGAGAAGGGCGAACAUUCAGUCAGAGACUUUGUGAGCUUACUGUAAAUUAGAGGGAGCAAAUUGGAGGAGAAAUGACAAAAGAAACAGAAAAAAUGUUUAAUCAGACAAAGGAACUAAAAAACCUCAGUCUUAAUUAGAAGAUGGUCAAACAAAUCUCUUAACUGAUGUUCACAAUGAUGGUUUCAAGUCAUCUAAGGAAUGGGAGAAAAUACAACUGGUGAAUUGCAAAGAUAUUAAGAAAUUUUUUUCAUGACCUCCAAAGAAUAAAAUUAUAAAACUUAUUCUUACCUUUUUGUUUCCUGUAAACGUGUGGUAUAUUCCCCUUGUCCCUCACGACAAACUUCUCUAUGAUUUCCUCAAUGGUUAAGGCCCCAAAUGAUACAUUAAAAAAUAUACAUUUGUUUUAUAUUUUCAAAGUAUUCUUAAUCUUUAAUUAGGAACUACACUGAAACUCUGUUGUCAAUGCCCCUACGAAGACUGAAAGAGAUGUGAUGGUUUUAAGACUGGUGCCUAUGGUCAAAAGAAUAUACUGACUGCUUCCAAAUGUCUAUAAAUAAAUUAUGGUUUCUUAAAGGCCCAUGAAAUGAAACUUUAUUUCUUGUCAUUAGUUAUCUAAUUUCUUAAAGGUUAUCUUUGUUAGGAAUGGAAUCAAUUUAAUGAUUUAAAUAUUUUUCAAACAUUUUAUAACACAUUUUUAUACUAGAAUUCUUGUUUGCUUUCAAUUGCCUUUCUCAUUCUUUUUACUUUCAUUCCAUGUUUUCCUUCUGAAUUAUAAUUGUGUAUUCUAUUCUGGAUGAAAUACUCAUAUUUCUCUAAAAUGUGGCUAGUAAACAAAACCAUGUAAGAGUGUACAUA